GCCUGGGGGGCUCAGUCGGUUAAGCGUCCGACUUCGGCUCGGGUCACGAUCUCACCGUUCACGGGUUCGAAUCCCGCAUCGGGCU
rnacentral:tRNA from 1 species